UGUACCAGGCCGUCUACCUUUUGGGUUGAGCCGUGGAACAAUUACGUCGGAGCGAACCUGAGCCGUUCUGGAAGCCUGCCGCCGGCACGGACGGCUGCCCUUCCCCAAGGCUGCGGGAGGCUGCGGUUCCUCCGGCGGCCGGCGAUGCAAGAUGCUGGGCUUGAAUCCUUCUGGAUGCGGUCGACCAGUUUCCGGUGCGAGCGGAGUUCGCGGACAGCCUGGAACAUCCAGAUCCGGUGCCUCUUGCGGUGCUCCCGCGACGUGAUGCCACCCCUGCUACGCCGGCGGAUUCGAAUGCGGGCUCCGGGUGCAGGCAGCACGUUGGUUGCGCUAGCCCUGGGAGGAUGCAGGGUGAAAAUCGCUGUCGACAGCCGGGCUCUCCGACGAGGUCUGCGCAGUCCACCCACAGGGUAAAUCCAGAGGCGCCGGGAUGGACCAAAAGGUUACAUCUUGGGAGUGCGCCACCGGACAGAACGCCGUGUCCAUAUAGGAUGAGUGCUUUAGGGCAGUCAAUUCGCAAGUAUGCCCCUGCUCCCCGCUCGUCGCAGUCCUGGCAUCCCGCUUGUCCCCACAUGCGUCGUCUUUGUGUCUCCGCCGGUGCCACCACUACUCGCUGCUCGUUGCUGCCAGUCGAGCAAGAUGUCCGGUGCUGCGGUGGACAAGCACAAGACGCCAACGGAGGAAGAGAAUAGGAAUCCGGCGUGGGAGGAUGAGGAGGACAAGGAUCAGGCGAGAAAGGAGGUGGUUAUAGGUCUGAUACUUAGCAUGAUUUAUUUUCAGUAUUCUCUGUAGUUUAUAAGCAGCAAAUGCCACCAGGGAAUGCUCCAUGUUGUAAGAAAAUUGUGAAUUCUGAACCUAGUCAAGUGCUUCUACUACAAGCAACUGUUACAAUGAAGAAAAAGCCAUCACUGGUUUAUCACAGCAGAAGGUGGGUGCAGGAGAUGAUGAUGAUGCACUGCUAAUAUUGGACUUGCCAGCGCAAAGGGUCAUUUUUGUGGCAGCCCAGAGAUAGGAAAACUGUGUCUAGUCAAGACCUACUUAGCAACAAAGAGACAGGUCUUCAGAGCAGCUGCCAUUGACUUGGAAAAGUUCAGCACUAAAAUUUGAUGUUCAGGAGAAUCAAAUUCAUCAUAAAUAAGGGGCUGCCAUUGACUUGUUGUUCAUCGCAAAGUUCAGGAGAAUCUGUAUGUAUGUUCAGAACUAUGAAAUCUGGUGUUCAAGCACAUGUUCAGGAUGAAAUCUGUAACCUGAAUCUGAUGUUUAAGCUAGCAGUGAUGUAUGCUCACUGAAAUUAUGUUAGUUUUAAAACUGCUCGUUGCUGCAUUUGAUAAACUGAAUCUAACACUGUAUCAAAUGGACCGAAGA